UUUUCGGCAAUGGGGGAAACCCUGCCGGAGCAACGCCGCGUGAGCGAAGAAGGCCUUCGGGUCGUAAAGCUCUGUUGUAAAGGAAGAACGGCGCAUACAGGAAAUGGUAUGCGAGUAACGGUACUUUACCAAAAAGCCAGGGCUAACUACGUGCCAGUAGCCGCGGUAAUACGUAGGUGGCGAGCGUUAUCCGGAAUCAUUGGGCGUAAAGAGGGAGCAGGCGGCCGCAAGGGUCUGUGGUGAAAGACCGAAGCUAAACUUCGGUAAGCCAUGGAAACCGGGCGGCUAGAGUGCGGAAGAGGAUCGUGGAAUUCCAUGUGUAGCGGUGAAAUGCGUAGAUAUAUGGAGGAACACCAGUGGCGAAGGCGACGGUCUGGGCCGCAACUGACGCUCAUUCCCGAAAGCGUGGGGAGCAAAUAGG
rnacentral:rRNA from 1 species